CAAAAACGUUAAAAGGAAAAAAAAAAAGCUCCACGUUGAUGAACCGUCGCUGCUGCUGACCCUGAAGCCUGACGGUGUGUUUGGGGCUCUUGUUCCCUGGAUUUUUCAGCAUGUCACCUCUGCUCUUGAGAAGUUUGUUGGCGGCAACAGCCAGAACAACCCAGUCCCUAAACUGCAGCUUGGCCUCCCGCUUAUUUUCUUCCUGGCUCCUGAGAUGCUCAAAUACGGUCACUCCCUUGCUUGGUCCACCUGCUAGCAAGGCGCCGAACGCCCAUCUUUUGCCUUUCCUCUCAUGCUGCCCACAUUACAAUUGGCAGCCUGUCGCUGGCAUGAAGUGCAAAGUGGCGAUCAAGAAGCGUUGCAAAGACUGUUACUUUGUUCGCAAAAAGGGCCAUUUGUAUAUAUACUGUAAAACUUUCCCGCGACAUAAACAGAGGAAGUUGUAAAACUGUCCUAACUGCACAUGGAAAACCCACGAGGCCAAUCAAGGGUUAACUCAUUGCACAAAAUAAAUACGUCUGGAGAUAAAGUUUUGUGCAAGACUUUGAUUUUAUAAGUAUGAAACCUGUCAGCAAAAUGGAAAUGAUUAUUUUUGGCUUUUUAGAUAUUGCUUAUUUUAAAAACAAUUUUGUAUGUUGUGUCAUCAUAAUUGCAAUAAGUAACUCUGCCGCCUUCCUGGACACUAUGUAAAAUUCUGUCAAAUGCAAAAUAUAAAUUCAAAGCAAUAUGUUCCA